rnacentral:rRNA from 1 species
AUGAAGCUGGAUUCGCUAGUAAUCGCGCAUCAGCCACGGCGCGGUGAAUACGUUCCCGGGCCUUGUACACACCGCCCGUCAAGCCAUGGAAGCCGGGGGUGCCUGAAGUGCGCUGCCGCGAGGAGCGCCCUAGGGUAAAACCGGUGACUGGGGCUAAGUCGUAACAAGGUACC